rnacentral:rRNA from 1 species
GACGAACGCUGGCGGCGUGCUUAACACAUGCAAGUCGAACGGGGUGGCGAAAGGGUGAGUAACACGGGGGGGAUUUGCCUUGCACUUCGGGAUAAACUGGGGAAACUGGGCCUAAUACGGGUAAGUGCAUGAUGAGCCAGCGGCCUAUCAGCUGGUUGGGGGGGUAAUGGCCUACAAAGGCGUCGACGGGUCGCAGGCCUGAGAGGGUGUACGGCCACAUUGGGACUGAGAUACGGCCCAGACUCCUACGGGAGGCAGCAGUGGGGAAUCUUGCACAAUGGGCGGAAGCCUGAUGCAGCGACGCCGCGUGGGGGAUGAAGGCCUUCGGGUUGUAAACUCCUUUCGACAGGGACGCGGUACCUGUAUAAGAAGCACCGGCUAACUACGUGCCAGCAGCCGCGGUAAUUC